rnacentral:lncRNA from 14 species
GGAAGAGCAGCCUGUGCUCUUAACCACAGAGCCAUCUUCUCCAGCCCCAGGAACUAAAAGUCUUCAAACAAGGGUCAGGAACCUUUUGUAUGUGGUUUAUUUUUAUUAUUAAGCUAAUUGGGCUUUUACAUAGUUCGGGUUAGCCACCACGCCCAAAUGUACAUAGAUUCUCUUAUUUAUAUAAAGAUUUUGUUUUUAUUUUAAAUUAUGUUUGUAUAUGUGGUGCAGUACCUGCCGAAGUCAGAAGAGGGCGCUGUAUCUCGUGGGGCUGGAGUUGCAGCCGGUUGUGAGUUGCCUGAGGUGGAACAGGGCUUGUUUUACCACUGAGCGCUCUCUGCAAACCUUAGACAUUGUUUCUUAUCUGUAACAAUAACUAUUCAGGGUAUGGAAUAUUUGUUAUGAGUUCCUCAUGCUGGCAUCCAACUCUGUUUUUUCUUUUGUACUGUGUUGUUUGAACCAAUAAAGACAUUGACUCAAA